GGCGCUGAGACACCUCAGCCGGGUAGUGCGUGCAGAUGCCGAUGACAUUGGUGCAGACGAACAGCAACAUGCUGGCACCCAGCUGCAAGAGGGCGGCAGCGCAGACGCGUGACCACCCCCACCCCCACUCCGCGCAGGACUCCGGCCCCCUGCCCGGAUCACUCCACAGCUGGAAAUGGGACCUCUUCACGACUCCUGGGAGCAGAAGCGCCAACCAGGGCAAGUCCAACUCCACUCAAACCACGCCCAGCCCCGGAGAAAACUGAUCCCACUCGUCACCCUCCCUGUCCUCUCAGAGACGGCCUUGGUCCAGGAGAGAAGCAACUCCUCCCUUGCUCACUCCCUCCAAACCCUGCGUGAUCCCUCCAGAUCACCACCUGGCGCUGCUUUUCAGGGAUGGCACCGGGCCUGAGUCUCAGGUAUCAACUUGGGGCCAGAACUGCCAAGGCCUGCCGUAGCCAACAGUGCCCUCUCGGCCCUGCCCGGGCCCCGGGGCUGAACAUCACCUUCACA